rnacentral:pre_miRNA from 1 species
AAAUUACUCCCUCCAUCCCAAAAUUCUUGUCUUAGAUUUUUCUAGAUACGGAUGUAUCAAGUCACAUUUUAGUAUUAGAUACAUCUGUAUCUAGACAAAUCUAAGACAAGAAAUUUGGGAUAGAGGGAGUAGUUG